AGCAGCCGCGGUAAUUCCAGCUCUAAUAGCGUAUAUUAAAGUUGUUGCAGUUAAAAAGCUCGUAAUUGAAUUUCGGGAUCAGUACGUCGGUCGUGCCUCCGGUAUGUACUGGCGUUACUGAUUUCUCCCUUCUGGUGAACCAUGAUGUCAUUAAUUUGGUGUUGUGGGGAGCCAGGACUGUUACUUUGAAAAAAUUAGAGUGUUUAAAGCAGGCAAACGCUUGAAUACAUUAGCAUGGAAUAAUGAAAUAGGACGUUCGAACCUAUUUUGUUGGUUUCUAGGAUCAACGUAAUGAUUAAUAGGGAUAGUUGGGGGCAUUAGUAUUCAAUUGUCAGAGGUGAAAUUCUUGGAUUUAUUGAAGACUAACUACUGCGAAAGCAUUUGCCAAGGAUGUUUUCAUUAAUCAAGAAUGAAAGUUAGGGGAUCGAAGACGAUCAGAUACCGUCGUAGUCUUAACCAUAAACUAUGCCGACUAGGGAUCGGAUGAAGUUAAUUUUUAAUGACUCAUUCGGCGCCUUAA
rnacentral:rRNA from 1 species